rnacentral:rRNA from 1 species
UCAAAGAUUAAGCCAUAGCAUAGUCUAAGUAUAAAUAGGAUUAUACAGUGAAACUGCGAAUGGCUCAUUAAAUCAGUUAUAGUUUAUUUGAUAAUACCUUUUACUUGGAUAACCGUAAUAAUUUUAGAGCUAAUACAUGCGUGAAAGUGCGACUUUUGUGGAAGCACUGUAUUUAUUAGAUACAAAACCAAUCGAGCUUGCUCGUUACCUUGGUGAUUCAUAAUAACUAAACGAAUCGUAUGACUUUAUGUCGACGAUGAUUCAUUCAAAUUUCUGCCCUAUCAACUUUCGAUGGUAAGGUAUUGGUUUACCAUGGUUACAACGGGUGACGGAGAAUUAGGGUUCGAUUCCGGAGAGGGAGCCUGAGAAACGGCUACCACUUCUACGGAGGGCAGCAGGCGCGCAAAUUACCCAAUCCUGACUCAGGGAGGUAGUGACGAAUAAUAACGAUACGUGACUUCGGUCUAGUAAUUGGAAUGAGUACAAUUUAAACCCCUUAAUGAAUUCCAUU